rnacentral:lncRNA from 1 species
UUUUUUCAAAUAGGAAGUCAAUAAAUUUCUCAUUAUUUUUUUGUAAUUCAUAUGUUUGUGAUAAAUACUUUUUUGUUUUCCUUUCUUCUUGUUAUAUCAAAAGCAUGUUAAAUUUAUUGAAAUAAUACAUGUUCUUGAUAAUAAGAAUUUAAUGCUAAAUUAAAUGCAUUACUUUUUGGGUUUGAGGUAGGGGUGAGAAAGGGUUGGGUUGCCUUCGACCCGUUUUCAAUUUUUUUGUCCCGCUACGCCGAUCAUAUACAGGGACAGGUAUCGGAGCAGUGCGAAACCCGGGUUGAUCGUCACUGUUUAAAAAAUAAUAAUUUGAUAUAAUUUAUUAUAUUAUAUAUUAAUUUAUAAUUAAUUAAUUAUAAAAUAAUUACUAAACAAUUAUUUAAAAACUAACAACACACUUACAAAAUCUGUGUUAAUUUUAUUUAUUUAAUUAAUAAUUAUUUAUUUAGUAAAUAAUAUUUUAAAUUUAAUUUCUAAAUAAUAUUUAAUUAAUAAUUUCUAAAUUUAAUUUCAAUCUGAAUUGUUAAAAAAAAAUGAAUUUCCUAAUUUAUAUUUAUUAUUUAUUAUUUUAUAAUUAGAAAAAGAAGAAGAGCAGUAAAAAAUAAAACUUUCUGUCGUACUUUCAAUAUCGAACUUCAUUUUCAAUUUUAAUUUUGAUUUUAAUUUCAUUUUCAAUUUCAUUAGCUUCCUGUGGUCAUUUUCUUGUGGUCAUCAAAGGGAAUGUCUUCUUCUUCAUCUUUCUAUCUUCCUUCUUGGUUUCCUCUUCUUCUUCUUAUUUCAGUUUUUCUUCUUCUUCUUUUUGUUCUUCCUAUUUUUCGUCUCUUCUCUUUAUUUUCUUUUUCAUUUAAUCUCCAUUUUUGUUAAUAUUGGUCUUGAAUAUUGAUUGUUUUAUUUUUCUAUUUUUUUUGUUUAUGUUAAUUGAUUUUGUUGUUGAUCUUCAUUUUUUUAUUUUGAUUUGGGGAUUAUUUGAUUAUUGUAUUUAGGGGUUUUAUCUAUUUUAGUGUUUAUUUAUUUGGGAUUUGUGUAUUUUAGGGUUUAUUUAUUUUAGGGUGUUUUAGUUUUAGUUAUUAUUGAUUAAUGUGUUGUUUAAGUUAUUGUUUGAAUGUUAUUAUUGUUUAAGUUAUUUUUUAAGUAAUAAGAAGAUGGGGAAAAUCCGAUGAAAUUAGGGGUUUAAAGUUCUACUGUUUGUGAUAAAAAUUAGAUGAUUUUCUGUUUUUAAUUGGGGGUUUUAUAUUUGAUAUGAUAUAUGGGGUUAUAUCUACUUUUUUUAUUAUGGAUUUAUGUUAUCUAUAUCUAGUGUUUUUAAUUUAUGAAUCUACUGUUUGUGAUAAAAAGUUAUAUCUCUAGUGUUAUAUAUCUAGUGUUUUUAAUUUAGUGUUUAUAUCUACAUUUUUAAUCUUGAUUUAAAUAUUUUUUCAAAUGUAAAUUAACCUACUGUUUAGGGGUGAGAACGGGACGGGUCGUGGAUGGGCCCCGGUCCUAAAAAACGGGACGCGGAACGAGACCGGUCAGGUACUCUGGCUCCCUGCCCCGACGACCGGGGCGCGGAUCCGGGGCGAUACGCCCCUAAUGAAGUAUUAAAAAAAUUAAAAAUAAUUGCAAUAACAUAUUUAUAAAAUAAUUUAUAAUUCUAUAUGGAAAUAUAUUUUAGAGAGUUAUAGACUUACGGCGUUGACUUUUUAUGGAAAUAUGGAAUAACUUACGGAAUCAGAAUAUCAGGAUGAGCGGCUGCCGUUUCUAAAUAUUAGGUUUUUGGGACGAUGGAGACAUGGAGAUGGAGAGUUGGAGAUUUGGACGAUGGAG